rnacentral:misc_RNA from 1 species
GGAAGAUCUUCUCUGCAGCACGACGAGGCACAGAGAAACCACCAUGUGUGCUGGUAUCGCUCGCAGUCAGUGUCUUACAGAAGAAAUCUGUCUGUGGCUUAUUCGGUUUCAGCCCAAGAUCUGAUGCUAGCAGCGCUUUCUCGUCAAUUGUAUUGAUCGGCUGAAGUGUCAUUUGGGCGUACACUUCAUCAGUCUCCGGAUCCGCAUGCAGAGUAACAUUG